rnacentral:rRNA from 1 species
CGCCUCUUGACAAAAUAAGAGGUCUAGCCUGCCCAGUGACCUAAGUUAAACGGCCGCGGUACCCUGACCGUGCAAAGGUAGCGUAAUCACUUGUCUUUUAAAUAAAGACUAGUAUGAAAGGCAUCACGAGGAUCAAGCUGUCUCCUUUUUCCAAUCAGUGAAACUAAUCCCCCCGUGAAGAAGCGGGAAUUUUUAUAUAAGACGAGAAGACCCUGUGGAGCUUAAGGCAAGAUAAUUACUACUUUUACGCUUUUUCCCUUCCCCGGAGCCUACACGUAACAACACUUUAAUUGUUCACCCUUUAGUUGGGGCGACUACGGAGCAAAAUUCAACCUCCGCGCCAAACAGAAUUUUCCCCCAAAGAGUUACAACUCUAUGCAUCAACAUAUUGACGUUAAUUGACCCAAUUACUUGAGCAACGAAACAAGUUACCCCAGGGAUAACAGCGCAAUCCAUUUCAAGAGCCCCUAUCGACAAAUGGGUUUACGACCUCGAUGUUGGAUCAGGGUAUCCCAGUGGUGCAGCCGCUACUAAAGGUUCGUUUGUUCAACGAUUAAAACCCUACGUGAUCUGAGU